rnacentral:sRNA from 1 species
UAAUCAAGGUAACGAAAUUGCCGUGGA